UCCACGCCGUAAACGAUGAUAACUCGUUGUUGGCGAUACACAGUCAGCGACUAAGCGAAAGCGAUAAGUUAUCCACCUGGGGAGUACGAUCGCAAGGUUGAAACUCAAAGGAAUUGACGGGGGCCCGCACAAGCGGUGGAGCAUGUGGUUUAAUUCGAUGAUACGCGAGGAACCUUACCUGGGCUCAAAUGCAGAGUGACAGUCCCUGAAAGGGGAUUUUCUUCGGACAGUCUGCAAGGUGCUGCAUGGUUGUCGUCAGCUCGUGCCGUGAGGUGUCGGGUUAAUCCCAUAACGAGCGCCAACCCC
rnacentral:rRNA from 1 species